AUCCCAGCGUCUGGUGGAAGUACUGAUGCUAUUGUAGCGAAGAGAUUCAACUAGUUCCAAACCCUUCUCGUGGGACGAAGACCAAGGCCCUGCGGAAAGACGGGCGCGCGAUAAACUAUCGCUGAAGGUUCUGCCUGGUUGAGAGCGCUUGCCAAGGCACAUCAGAAGCAAACCUGCAAAAAUGUAAGAUCUCCACUUGCACGGCAUACUUUUUGUUUUUGUCAGGCACUGCUCCUCUGACCAAUAGAGCAGGAAAAUGACACGCAUUCUUUCGUCGUCACUGAUGUGCAGACAUGCCGUGCUCUGUAGAGCUAAGCAAAGAAAAUAGCGCAUGACUGUUCGUGGAGCCUUCUUGGAUGCCACAUCUGAAGUACAGCAUCUGUUUUGUGACACCAGGGCUGGACCCAGCAGUGAGCACACCAAUGGCUCUCAUGGAGAGGCUCCCGUCAUUCUUCAGG
rnacentral:lncRNA from 1 species